rnacentral:lncRNA from 1 species
CUCAAAAAGCCUCUAACGCUCGUUUACGAGUGGAGUGCAUAAGAAGCCCUUAUUGAAGUAGGGCGAGGCCUUACUACACGAGCUCGUAAGUCAAGCACGGAACGAGCCUUGUCUACGAAGCUUCGCUUCAUCAUCUUGCUUGCUUCUGGCGAAGCUUAACGCACUAUAACAUAGGCAUGCAUGAUGGUAUGGUAGGGGGACUCCUUUUAAGGCCGACCACUACAUAGGAGCGAUAGGAAGCCAAGC